rnacentral:rRNA from 1 species
CUUUAAAGAGUUUGAUCCUGGCUCAGAUUGAACGCUGGCGUCAUGCCUUACACAUGCAAGUCGAACGGCAGCACGGGUGCUUGCACCUGGUGGCGAGUGGCGAACGGGUGAGUAAUACAUCGGAACAUGUCCUGUAGUGGGGGAUAGCCCGGCGAAAGCCGGAUUAAUACCGCAUACGAUCUACGGAUGAAAGCGGGGGACCUUCGGGCCUCGCGCUAUAGGGUUGGCCGAUGGCUGAUUAGCUAGUUGGUGGGGUAAAGGCCUACCAAGGCGACGAUCAGUAGCUGGUCUGAGAGGACGACCAGCCACACUGGGACUGAGACACGGCCCAGACUCCUACGGGAGGCAGCAGUGGGGAAUUUUGGACAAUGGGCGAAAGCCUGAUCCAGCAAUGCCGCGUGUGUGAAGAAGGCCUUCGGGUUGUAAAGCACUUUUGUCCGGAAAGAAAUCCUUGGCUCUAAUACAGUCGGGGGAUGACGGUACCGGAAGAAUAAGCACCGGCUAACUACGUGCCAGCAGCCGCGGUAAUACGUAGGGUGCGAGCGUUAAUCGGAAUUACUGGGCGUAAAGCGUGCGCAGGCGGUUUGCUAAGACCGAUGUGAAAUCCCCGGGCUCAACCUGGGAACUGCAUUGGUGACUGGCAGGCUAGAGUAUGGCAGAGGGGGGUAGAAUUCCACGUGUAGCAGUGAAAUGCGUAAAAAUGUGGAGGAAUACCGAUGGGGAAGGAAGCCCCCCUGGGCCAAUACUGACGCUCAUGCACGAAAGCGUGGGGAGCAACCAGGAUUAGAUACCCUGGUAGUUCACGCCCUAAACGAUGUCAACUAGUGUUGGGGGAUUCAUUUCCUUAGUAACGUAGCUAACGCGUGAAGUUGACCGCCUGGGGAGUACGGUCGCAAGAUUAAAACUCAAAGGAAUUGACGGGGACCCGCACGAGCGGUGGAUGAUGUGGAUUAAUUCGAUGCAACGCGAAAAACCUUACCUACCCUUGACAUGGUCGGAAUCCCGCUGAGAGGUGGGAGUGCUCGAAAGAGAACCGGCGCACAGGUGCUGCAUGGCUGUCGUCAGCUCGUGUCGUGAGAUGUUGGGUUAAGUCCCGCAACGAGCGCAACCCUUGUCCUUAGUUGCUACGCAAGAGCACUCUAAGGAGACUGCCGGUGACAAACCGGAGGAAGGUGGGGAUGACGUCAAGUCCUCAUGGCCCUUAUGGGUAGGGCUUCACACGUCAUACAAUGGUCGGAACAGAGGGUUGCCAACCCGCGAGGGGGAGCUAAUCCCAGAAAACCGAUCGUAGUCCGGAUUGCACUCUGCAACUCGAGUGCAUGAAGCUGGAAUCGCUAGUAAUCGCGGAUCAGCAUGCCGCGGUGAAUACGUUCCCGGGUCUUGUACACACCGCCCGUCACACCAUGGGAGUGGGUUUUACCAGAAGUGGCUAGUCUAACCGCAAGGAGGACGGUCACCACGGUAGGAUUCAUGACUGGGGUGAAGUCGUAACAAGGUAA